GGGGAGCCUUCAGGAGCGGCCGAGGAGUUGCUGCAGACCCUGCCGCGAGGGCAUCGGCCUCCGGGCGCGGCCAGAUGAGGCGGACGUUCUUAGGAGAACGCUGAGCAAGGGGCCACAGUCG